rnacentral:tRNA from 1 species
GCCUGGGUGGCUCAGUCGGUUGAGCGUCCGACUUUGGCUCAGGUCAUGAUCUCACAGUUUGUGGGUUCAAGCCCCACAUCAGGCU